CUGCUGAAGAGUCCCACAAUAGGACGAAACGGCCGUCAG
rnacentral:hammerhead_ribozyme from 1 species